UCACAGAUGCCUUGUGUUCGAAUCAGUCU
rnacentral:piRNA from 1 species